rnacentral:rRNA from 1 species
AGGUGCAAUCAUACCAAAACUAAUACAGUGGAUCCCAUCAGAACUCCGUAGUUAAGCGUGCUUGGUCGAGAGUAGUACUAGGAUGGGAGACCUCCUCGGAAGUCCUCGUAUUGGACCCC